GAUGAACGCUGGCGGCGUGCCUAAUACAUGCCAGUCGAGCGAACGGACGAGAAGCUUGCUUCUCUGAUGUUAGCGGCGGACGGGUGAGUAACACGUGGAUAACCUACCUAUAAGACUGGGAUAACUUCGGGAAACCGGAGCUAAUACCGGAUAAUAUUUUGAACCGCAUGGUUCAAAAGUGAAAGACGGUCUUGCUGUCACUUAUAGAUGGAUCCGCGCUGCAUUAGCUAGUUGGUAAGGUAACGGCUUACCAAGGCAACGAUGCAUAGCCGACCUGAGAGGGUGAUCGGCCACACUGGAACUGAGAGACGGUCCAGACUCCUACGGGAGGCAGCAGUAGGGAAUCUUCCGCAAUGGGCGAAAGCCUGACGGAGCAACGCCGCGUGAGUGAUGAAGGUCUUCGGAUCGUAAAACUCUGUUAUUAGGGAAGAACAUAUGUGUAAGUAACUGUGCACAUCUUGACGGUACCUAAUCAGAAAGCCACGGCUAACUACGUG
rnacentral:rRNA from 1 species